UCGCGGGUCGUCCAACGGCAGGACACCUGAUUCUGGAUCAGGGAAUCGAGGUUCGAAUCCUUGCCCGCGAGC
rnacentral:tRNA from 1 species